rnacentral:lncRNA from 1 species
GUUAUGAGUCCCAUUUCCUAAACUAAGCCCUACCUCAGUGUCUUCAUCUGUGAAUUAAAGGUCACUCGCUAGAGCCUGCUGUACGUUUGUGACAAGUGAGGUCCUUGCUUAUAGGAAGUCAUGUUUUUCUUCACCUCUGGGCAGAAGUGAAGUUCAAAGUCAGAGUUCUACCAGGGUUCAGCUUCUGUGAUCAGUCAGAUCAUUCCUGUUCAGAAGAGAGCUUGCUAAAAACAAUGAAGAGCAGAGUAGGAGCAGGGGAGAAAAGUCAAAGAGCCUCAGGUUGCUGCAGCUGUUCUGCCAAGUGAACAGAAACCAAGAGGGGCCCUUGGGUGCUGUCAGUGUGUUUUCAUUAUACUUGAAAUACAUUCAGCGUUCUAUCAAGAAGCCCUCAGCCAACAUAAAGAAGCUUUCACCAAGUCAAGACCUGAAGGAAGAGGAGCCAGCAUGGAGUGGUGUGUGGGGCACAUGUUCCGUCUUUCAGCGGCUGACAAAUCUGGGGAAGGAGAGAAUGACCCAGGGAAACGGAAGUGGCCAUUACAGGAUAAAUCUGACGGAGUAUGAAAGCGGUUUCAGUAAGAAAAAGAUCCAAGAAGGAUAAAAUGCUUGAGGGAAGCAUCAUGGAGGAAAUCAGAUGUCGUUUGUACCUUGAAACAGAAUAGAAUUGAGAUGCAUAGAUUUGUAUAAUUGCAAGAAACAGGAAGAGCCUUAGGCAAACAUUACGGAAA